rnacentral:rRNA from 1 species
AACGAACGCUGGCGGCGCGCCUAAUACAUGCAAGUCGAGCGAGAAGACGUAGCAAUACGUUUGUAAAGCGGCGAACGGGUGAGGAAUACAUGGGUAACCUACCCUCGAGUGGGGAAUAACUAGCCGAAAGGUUAGCUAAUACCGCGUACGCUCCUUGGACUUCGGUUCAGGGAGGAAAGCGAUACCGUGGGUAUCGCGCUCUUGGAUGGGCUCAUGUCCUAUCAGCUUGUUGGUGAGGAACGGCUCACCAAGGCUUCGACGGGUAGCUGGUCUGAGAGGACGAUCAGCCACACUGGCACUGCGACACGGGCCAGACUCCUACGGGAGCAGCAGUAAGGAAUAUUGCGACAA